rnacentral:rRNA from 1 species
AUACGUAGGGGGCGAGCGUUGUCCGGAAUGAUUGGGCGUAAAGGGCGCGUAGGCGGCCCGGUAAGUCUGGAGUGAAAGUCCUGUUUUUAAGAUGGGAAUUGCUUUGGAUACUGUCGGGCUUGAGUGCAGGAGAGGUAAGUGGAAUUCCCAGUGUAGCGGUGAAAUGCGUAGAGAUUGGGAGGAACACCAGUGGCGAAGGCGACUUACUGGACUGUAACUGACGCUGAGGCGCGAAAGUGUGGGGAGCAAACAGGAUUAGAUACCCUGGUAGUCCACACUGUAAACGAUGAAUGCUAGGUGUAGGGGGUAUCGACCCCUUCUGUGCCGCAGUCAACACAAUAAGCAUUCCGCCUGGGGAGUACGGCCGCAAGGUUGUAACUCAAAGGAAUUGACGGGG